GACGUAGGAAGCAAGCGUUGUCCGGAAUGACUGGGCGUAAAGGGUGCGUAGGCGGGAAAUUAAGUUAAGUGUGAAAGCCUUGGGCUUAACCCAAGAAAUGCACUUGAUACUGGUUUUCUAGAGUGUAGGAGAGGUAAGUGGAAUUCCUAGUGUAGCGGUAAAAUGCGUAGAGAUUAGGAGGAACAUCAGAGGCGAAGGCGGCUUACUGGACUAUAACUGACGCUGAGGCUCGAAAGCGUGGGGAGCAAACAGG
rnacentral:rRNA from 1 species